CAGGCCUAACACAUGCAAGUCGAGGGGUAGAACACUUCGGUGUUUGAGACCGGCGCACGGGUGCGUAACGCGUAUGCAAUCUACCUUGUACAGGGGAAUAGCCCAGAGAAAUUUGGAUUAAUGCCCCAUAGUAUAUAACCUUCGCAUGUUGGUUAUAUUAAAGUUCCAACGGUACAAGAUGAGCAUGCGUCCCAUUAGUUAGUUGGUAAGGUAACGGCUUACCAAGACGAUGAUGGGUAGGGGUCCUGAGAGGGAGAUCCCCCACACUGGUACUGAGACACGGACCAGACUCCUACGGGAGGCAGCAGUGAGGAAUAUUGGUCAAUGGGCGCAAGCCUGAACCAGCCAUGCCGCGUGCAGGAAGACGGUCCUAUGGAUUGUAAACUGCUUUUAUACAGGAAGAAACCCUCCCACGUGUGGGAGAUGACGGUACUGUAAGAAUAAGAUGGUACUCGG
rnacentral:rRNA from 1 species